GGAUGCGAUCAUACCAACUCACAUGCACCGGAUCCCAUCAGAGCUCCGAAGUUAAGCGAGUUUGGGCGAGAGUAGUACUAGGAUGGGUGACCUCCUGGGAAGUCCUCGUGUUGCAUCCCCCC
rnacentral:rRNA from 1 species